rnacentral:sRNA from 1 species
CUGCGCCCCGGAUAGCAAUGGAAAUCCUUUUUUUUUUGGAAGGAUUUAGCCAAGGCAAAAAAAAGAUUGCAAUGGAUAGCCGGAAAUCGA